CCAGAAGCUUCCUAACAGGGUUCCCUGCUUGCAACAUUGCCACAUUCCCACCUCAGUCUGUUCACAACCGAGGACCCUCAGGAAUCCUUUCAAAGCAUUCAUCAAAAUCUGCAACGCCUUUGCUCAUGACUGUUUCCCACUCACUAGCAGUGAGAUCCAAUCCCGAUCCAAGACCCGGAGGCUUCUUCAGUGAGCGAUAUUGUCCAAGAAACAACUUCCCACUAAAAUGAUCAAGAGAAUGAGAAGUCAAGACAAAGAGUGGGAGAACAUGUUUGCAAAAGACAUAACUUUCGGAUAAAG
rnacentral:lncRNA from 1 species